UGCCAGCAGCCGCGGUAAUACGAGGGGUGCUAGCGUUGUCCGGAAUCAUUGGGCGUAAAGGGUCCGUAGGCGGUUUAACAAGUCAAUUGUUAAAGACAUCGGCUUAACCGAUGGAGUGCAGUUGAAACUGUUAGAAUAGAGUUUAGGAGAGGAAAGUGGAAUUUCUGGUGUAGCGGUGACAUGCGUAGAUAUCAGAAGGAACACCAAUGGCGAAGGCAACGUUCUGGCCUAAAACUUACGCGGAGUGACGAAAGCUUGGGGAGCGAAGAGGAUUAGAUA
rnacentral:rRNA from 1 species